CCAAUAGCGUAUAUUAAAGUUGUUGCGGUUAAAAAGCUCGUAGUUGAAUUUCGAGAUCAAAUUGUUGGUCGUGCCUUGGUACGCACUGGCAUUAUUGGUUUCUACCUUCUGACGAACCAUGAUGUCAUUAAUUUGGUGUCUUGGGGAAUCAGGACUGUUACUUUGAAAAAAUUAGAGUGUUUAAAGCAGGCUCACGCUUGAAUACAUUAGCAUGGAAUAAUGAAAUAGGACGUUUGAUUCUAUUUUGUUGGUUUCUAGGAUCGACGUAAUGAUUAAUAGGGAUAGUUGGGGGCAUUAGUAUUCAAUUGUCAGAGGUGAAAUUCUUGGAUUUAUUGAAGACUAACUACUGCGAAAGCAUUUGCCAAGGAUGUUUUCGUUAAUCAAGAACGAAAGUUAGGGGAUCGAAGACGAUCAGAUACCGUCGUAGUCUUAACCAUAAACUAUGCCGACUAGGGAUCGGAUGAUGUUAAUUUUUUAAUGACUCAUUCGGCGCCUUACG
rnacentral:rRNA from 1 species